GGUAGAAUGGCUGAGUUUAGGCGAUAGAUUGUAAAUCUAUUUAGGAGGGUAUUCUCUCUUUUGCCA
rnacentral:tRNA from 1 species